rnacentral:rRNA from 1 species
AUUGAACGCUGGCGGCAGGCCUAACACAUGCAAGUCGAGCGGAUGACGGGAGCUUGCUCCUUGAUUCAGCGGCGGACGGGUGAGUAAUGCCUAGGAAUCUGCCUGGUAGUGGGGGACAACGUUUCGACAGGAACGCUAAUACCGCAUACGUCCUACGGGAGAGAGCAGGGGACCUUCGGGCCUGGCGCGAUGAGAUGAGCCUAGGUCGGAUUAGCUAGUUGGUGAGGUAAGGGCUCACCAAGGCGACGAUCCGUAACUGGUCUGAGAGGAUGAUCAGUCACACUGGAACUGAGACACGGUCCAGACCCCUACGGGAGGCAGCAGUGGGGAAUAUUGGACAAUGGGCGAAAGCCUGAUCCAGCCAUGCCGCGUGUGUGAAGAAGGUCUUCGGAUUGUAAAGCACUUUAAGUUGGGAGGAAGGGCAGUAAGUUAAUACCUUGCUGUUUUGACGUUACCGACAGAAUAAGCACCGGCUAACUCUGUGCCAGCCGCCGCAGUAAAAC